rnacentral:RNase_P_RNA from 1 species
ACGUUCGGGUAAUCGCUGCAGCAGCUUAACAGCUACGCUGUAGAGGAAAGUCCAUGCUCGCACAGGCUGAGAUGCCUGUAGUGUUCGUGCCUAGCGAAGUCAUAAGCUAGGGCAGCCGUGUAAACCGGCUGACGGCUGGGAAAGCACCUAAGUCAUUUUUGAUAUGGUGCCGGUACCUGUAAAAGUGCCACAGUGACGUAGCCUUUCUAGAAAUGGAAAGGGUGGAACGAGGGUAAACCCCACGAGCGAGAAACCCAAAUUAAGGUAGGGGCACCUUCUCAUUUGGAAAUGAACAAAGAGAAGGACGGGUAUAUUCUUAUAUCCGUAGAUAGAUGAUUGCCGCCCUGGUACGAGACUUUAUGUCGCUAUCAGUACCUAGGUACAAAACAUGGCUUACAGAA